CCUACGGGACGCACCAGUGGGGAAUAUUGCACAAUGGGCGCAAGCCUGAUGCAGCCAUACCGCGUGUAUGAAGAAGGCCUUCGGGUUGUAAAGUACUUUCAGCGGGGAGGAAGGUGUUGUGGUUAAUAACCACAGCAAUUGACGUUACCCGCAGAAGAAGCACCGGCUAACUCCGUGCCAGCAGCCGCGGUAAUACGGAGGGUGCAAGCGUUAAUCGGAAUUACUGGGCGUAAAGCGCACGCAGGCGGUCUGUCAUGUCGUAUGUGAAAUCCCCGGGCUCAACCUGGGAACUGCAUUCGAAACUGGCAGGCUAGAGUCUUGUAGAGGGGGGUAGAAUUCCAGGUGUAGCGGUGAAAUGCGUAGAGAUCUGGAGGAAUACCGGUGGCGAAGGCGGCCCCCUGGACGAAGACUGACGCUCAGGUGCGAAAGCGUGGGGAGCAAACAGGAUUAGAUACCCGGGUAGUC
rnacentral:rRNA from 1 species